rnacentral:rRNA from 1 species
UAGGGAAUCUUCGGCAAUGGACGAAAGUCUGACCGAGCAACGCCGCGUGAGUGAAGAAGGUUUUCGGAUCGUAAAACUCUGUUGUUAGAGAAGAACAAGGACGUUAGUAACUGAACGUCCCCUGACGGUAUCUAACCAGAAAGCCACGGCUAACUACGUGCCAGCAGCCGCGGUAAUACGUAGGUGGCAAGCGUUGUCCGGAUUUAUUGGGUGUAAAGCGAGCGCAGGCGGUUUCUUAAGUCUGAUGUGAAAGCCCCCGGCUCAACCGGGGAGGGUCAUUGGAAACUGGGAGACUGGAGUGCAGAAGAGGAGAGUGGAAUUCCAUGUGUAGCGGUGAAAUGCGUAGAUAUAUGGAGGAACACCAGUGGCGAAGGCGGCUCUCUGGUCUGUAACUGACGCUGAGGCUCGAAAGCGUGGGGAGCAAACAGG